AUACGUAGGGAGCGAGCGUUGUCCGGAAUUACUGGGUGUAAAGGGAGCGUAGGCGGGAGUGCAAGUCAGAUGUGAAAUACAUGGGCUCAACCCAUGGGCUGCAUUUGAAACUGCAUUUCUUGAGUGAAGUAGAGGUAAGCGGAAUUCCUGGUGUAGCGGUGAAAUGCGUAGAUAUCAGGAGGAACACCGGUGGCGAAGGCGGCUUACUGGGCUUUUACUGACGCUGAGGCUCGAAAGCGUGGGGAGCAAACAGGGUUAGAUACCCUGGUAGUCCACGCUGUAAACGAUGAUUACUAGGUGUGGGGGGACUGACCCCUUCCGUGCCGCAGUUAACACAAUAAGUAAUCCACCUGGGGAGUACGGCCGCAAGGUUGAAACUUAAAGGAAUUGACGGGG
rnacentral:rRNA from 1 species